rnacentral:rRNA from 1 species
UACGUAGGGUGCAAGCGUUGUCCGGAAUUAUUGGGCGUAAAGAGCUCGUAGGCGGUUUGUCGCGUCUGCUGUGAAAACGCGAGGCUCAACCUCGCGCCUGCAGUGGGUACGGGCAGACUAGAGUGCGGUAGGGGAGAAUGGAAUUCCUGGUGUAGCGGUGGAAUGCGCAGAUAUCAGGAGGAACACCGAUGGCGAAGGCAGUUCUCUGGGCCGUAACUGACGCUGAGGAGCGAAAGCGUGGGGAGCGAACAGG